UCUCGACAGUGCCUCACUCUCUCUCUCGACAACUAUCAGUGCCUCCUCACUUCAACCAUAUCUCUCUGUUCUACAUGAUGUCGAAAUCCAUCAGAUCAAAACCUAGACCUCUCUCCUCUCUGCUCUUUCCCUACAGCCAAAACCUCACUCUCCCAAAUCCACUCUCUUCUUCGACAAACCCCAACCAAAGCUCUUUCUCUUUGACAAAUCCCGACCAAAACCAUCUCUCCCUCUAGCUAGGUUAUUCAAUAUGGGAAAUAGUGAAGGGAAGAAAACCUAAUGGGUAGCCUCUAGGGUUCUUCAGAUCUUUCAGCGAUGGUGAUUGUUGCUUUCGUCGGUGGUUACAACUUUGAAAGCAAGUGCAGAGGGUUCAGGGCUUACCAAUUUUGAACGCAAACCUAGAGUUGAGGGAUUUUUUUUUUGGUAUCUCAAUUCAGUCUCCUCUCUUAUUGAACCCUAUUCAACGGCCGGGUAACUGGUGUUGAGCUAAUUCCUUUAUGCUUUGUUGUUUUUUAGGCUGAGUAUCUUGGUGAGUUUUAUGAGUAUCUCAAGGGCUUGAAUCUUGCUAGAACUUUUCAGUUUCCAACAUGGCGGAUCUCAGCCCCAGGUCUGAGAUCUCAUUCCUGCAGACCUCUUUGUGCGAUGCCUUCGCUGCUUGUUUAGCCAAGGACACGUCCAUCCAUCAGACAUUGGCAAAUAAUAUACCAUACACCCAAACUACCUAGUUCACUAUGGCAAUGCAUAAACUAAUUCUGAACAUAUAACAUGCUGAACUAGUUCAUUUUCUAGAAACUGAAGCAUCGGGCUCUCGGAUCCUACCACAGAAAAUGGCACGCUGAAUUUCUGGUAUUGCUGCUUGUCCCAAUCGAACUGCAAUAUCGGUUAAUCGGGAGGUUAUCGUUUGGAACAAACAGCCGCAAAAGCUUAUGAUAUAACAAAACUCAAGCACGUGAGUAAACAAAAAUAUGUUACUGACUGAGAAGAAAGUAAAGCCAAUUUGAGUUAUAUUCAAUGCGCUUAUUACUGCAUGUGGUCAAUCAGGAGCAGUUGACCGCGCUUUUGAUGUCUUAGAAGAAAUGAAGGCAGAGACGACACAACCUAUAGAACCUGAUCACACAACUGGGAUAAUGAAGAUGAGCUCGACAAGAUCACACAGCCUAUAGCACUAUAUCUUUUUCUUCAGCUAAUCUGGGCUCUGUGGAGGCAGUAAUCUUUUUGAUAGCGCAGCUGCUUUACAUAUCUUAGCUUCCACAUGCAUGUGAUGGGUUAGUGCUUGUAAGAAUUAUGUCAUUCCAAAUGAUGCAUGCAUUACGGCUAUCUGUUCCCUUAAAUUUGGUGAAACAUGGAGCACUUAAAGAAGCUUUAGAUAUAGUCCAGUUUGUUGUUUCCUUUCCUAAAUGACGCAUUUCCUUUCCUAAAUGAUGAGAACAUGUAUAAAUUUAGUAUUUCAUUGACCACAUAUGUGAAUAAGUAUGUUGUUUCCUUUUUUCUAA